AGGCGGGACUUCCGGCUGGCUCUUCCAUCAGCUGCCUUCCCCGGGCGUCUCCCCGCAACCUCCUCAACUUCCCUAGUCAGUGACGAGGCGCCGGCCAGAAAUCCGACCGGACCGGGCUCGGGGGAGCGUGAGCUGCAGUUAAAAGAAGAUGGAUGCACAGUGUUCAGCCAAGGUCAAUGCAAGGAAGAGGAGAAAAGAGGCGCCCGGACCCAACGGGGCAACAGAGGAAGAUGGGGUUCCUUCCAAAGUGCAGCGCUGUGCAGUGGGCUUACGGCAACCAGCUCCUUUUUCUGAUGAAAUUGAAGUUGACUUUAGUAAGCCCUAUGUCAGGGUAACUAUGGAAGAAGCCAGCAGAGGAACUCCUUGUGAGCGACCUGUGAGAGUUUAUGCUGAUGGAAUAUUUGACUUAUUUCACUCUGGUCACGCCCGAGCUCUGAUGCAAGCAAAGAACCUUUUCCCUAAUACAUACCUCAUUGUGGGAGGUAAGAAAACAUUUGAUGACUUCAGGUGCUAUGCAGAAAAAGAUGAUAGUAGAGUCUGUCUUUCUCUUCUGUCUUUAUAACCUGAGUACACUGGCUCUUGUUUCCAUUUUUAAAUGAAGGAUGUAGUACAGCCUCUCUAAAACACAUGAAGUAUAUGGGGUACCAGCAAACUAAACCUGGAGAGAGGAGCUUCAAGCUCAUUGACUGUGACGUCUGACAUUUAUCUCACUGAUUUUAGCUGAGUUUCUGCAGUCACAGGAGCAACAAUGACUUCUGUUGUCCACUUUAAAAACAUUUGCUUUAGAUUUCAGUUUAUCAUUUUGAAUAAACUGGAGUACAAAAGUCUGCCAAGGAAAUGUUAGGUGGUCCAGUCCAGUGUGAAUAAAACAGGAAAACAUGUUUAAGGACUUAACUGAUGCAGACAUGCACAGCAGGUUUAUUUCAGAGUCGAAGAUCUUGGUCAUCUGUUGUACCGUCCCUUCUCCAAAGUAUGAACAUACUAUUGAGUGAGUGUUGCUCCUGAAGGUAUAUGCUGCAUUAGGAAAAGUGUUGUUACCCAGGUUCAACUACCUUUAGAAGACUUUUCUCCAGUUGGGGAAGAUGGUUGCAGUCCUAAGCAGUGGGAGAAGAUGGGAGAGGUCGGUGGCUGAGGAGUUGCUAAGCAAAGAGGACUCCGACCCACAAUUUAUGAUGUGGUGAACUCAGUUUGCAGUGAUGAGCUCACACACAACUUCAAAGGCUUCACGGUGAUGAACGAGAAUGAGCGCUAUGACGCAGUCCAGCACUGCCGCUACGUGGAUGAGGUGGUGAGGAAUGCGCCCUGGACGCUGACACCCGAGUUCCUGGCCGAACACCGGAUUGAUUUUGUAGCCCAUGAUGAUAUUCCUUAUUCAUCUGCUGGAAGUGAUGAUGUUUAUAAGCACAUCAA
rnacentral:sRNA from 1 species